rnacentral:rRNA from 1 species
AUUGAACGCUGGCGGCAUGCCUUACACAUGCAAGUCGAACGGCAGCACGGGAGCAAUCCUGGUGGCGAGUGGCGAACGGGUGAGUAAUAUAUCGGAACGUGCCCGGUCGUGGGGGAUAACGUAGCGAAAGCUACGCUAAUACCGCAUACGAUCUACGGAUGAAAGCGGGGGAUCGCAAGACCUCGCGCGAUUGGAGCGGCCGAUAUCAGAUUAGGUAGUUGGUGAGGUAAAGGCUCACCAAGCCGACGAUCUGUAGCUGGUCUGAGAGGACGACCAGCCACACUGGGACUGAGACACGGCCCAGACUCCUACGGGAGGCAGCAGUGGGAAUUUUGGACAAUGGGCGCAAGCCUGAUCCAGCAAUGCCGCGUGCAGGAUGAAGGCC